GUAUUCAAGCUCCCAACAAAGUUACUACUGUUGUCACAGAAACAUAGUUCUGUUGUAUGUAUACUUAAUUUCCCAAGAUGUAGAUUUUAUUCUUAUCUUACAUGAUAUAUUUUUUCUUUUUCUGCUUGUGAAAAAACUCAGUUUAAAAAAAAAUAGGUCCUCAUUCUAAAGGAGUAACUUCUUGAACCAGCAGUAGAUAUUGUGUCGGGAAGGACGAGGAGCAGGAGCAUUGGUUCAGAUUUUCCCUGUUGGCCUUGUGUUUGUUUACCGAUUAUUGGCUUGACAUGAAGAUUGAUCAGUAUGUUUUCCAAGCUACAUGGCAUGUUGCAACGCUCUUCGGAGUCAAACCCUUGGGAUGGUCCCUCAAACAUGAUGGUCUAGCUAUUACAAAUUAACCAAGAUCAGCAGGACUAAGAAAAUACAUAUUUGACACUAUUUGAGAUGGUCCCUCAAACAGCCACGCCGCCACACCUGCCGACCCCUGUGCAGCACACCCACCCCUGCGCUCGGCCACCGUGGCGGCGGCGGCCCGGCUCCAGCGUGCCGGCGGCCGUGGCGGAGGCCCCGGAGGCGGUCGUCGGGGCGGGCGGCGCGAGGUGGGAGCCGAUGGGCGCGUGGGAGUACUACGACUACCGGUGGGCCAUCUACGGCGACAUCACGGACAAGGCCAUCCUCGUCGACGCCGCCGACACCAUCCUCGCCCCCACCGAGUCCAUGGCCCAGGUGUAUAGAACAGUAGGCGAAAAGUAUGGGGUGAAGUACUCGGAGGAUGAGAUCUUGAUGAGGACCUCGAGGCCUCGGAGAGCCCCUCCGAACAAGACGUGCACAGGAGCUCUGCCUUGACGGGGAAAGCAGCGAAGUUGGUGCAGUGGCGAAUGUGGGCGGGGUCGGCCGUGGAGGGAGACUUGCUGGUCGGAGCAGCAGGAGCAAGAAGGUUGAGGCGGUUCAGGGCAAGACAAGAACAUUUAGUUGGAUCCAGAGUAUUGAGAUUGCAGAGGACUCAACAAAGGAAAUUGAAUGCAUAUAAGGAUCGAGGACCUUUACAUUGGAUGCAUGAUGAUGAUCAUCCACCGAGCAGCACAUCAUCUUGGAAAAGCAGAUGCGAAUUUCUGCUAGGUUUCCUUCUCCGGUUGUCCCUCCCAUCAACUCUCUCAGCUCCCAAACCAUUAACCCCGUCCUGGUUGUUUCUAUAUUUUCUUUUUGUUUUGUUUUUACCAAUGCACUUUUCUUGACAUGUUUUAGUGUGUUCCUUCCUACGGCCAGCUCGACCAUUUGCUCCGGAGGGAGUUUUUAGCUCAGAAGGAGCAAAUAAUUUGAGAAUGCAUUGGUCUUUUCUGCAA